UCUCCCCAUUCACACAAAUAAAAAGCAGCAAAACCCCUGAGAUGCAGCCACCUGAUGACUGCCAUUUUGUUUUCCCCACAGCACACCUGACUGACACACCAAGGAUGCUGUGUGCCUGUGCCAGGCCUGGUCCUUAGUGCUUAAAAAACAUAUUUCAAGUGGUAAAAAAUAAAGCUUCACAUAAUUAUAUCUGAAAUGCUUACAACAGGCUCAUGAGGACCAAUUUUAUUACCCCUCCAUUGCAGGUAGAAGGCUGAGGCUGAAAGAAUAAUGGGGUGUUUCGGGCCAUCAAGCACAUUUGCUGGUGAGAUUUAAAUGCAUCAUUUUCCAGCUUACACUUUCCAGCUUGCACUAAACCUCGCCACCUCAUAAAGUCAGGGUCCAUUUCAUUCUGUAUGUAUGGGUAAAAUUUGGUUCCUCAGUGAUUCGGGCAAGAAAACACUUGCAAGUCCUAAUAACCUCAAACCCAUUUGUGAGGUGUGAGGUUUCGAAAGAAGUGAAUGGCUCAUCCUACAGUGCUGGCCCUACCAUUAGGCAGCGUGAGGACAUACAAGUGUCAAAGUUCUGCACCAGGUGACCUGUUUAUUCAUCCUGAUUUGCUUGCACAAAAGUUUAUGAGAAGGGUCUUCACUUCUGCUUUGUGCCAGUAGAGGAUUUUUCAAAAGACAAACACAGCUCCUGGGAAGCCUCUGCAGAUUCCUCCCAAAUGGGGCCAUGACUGACUCCAGUUACGAAGGCUGCAGCUGCUGCUGAAGAUGCCAGAAACCAUCUUGCUACGGAUCCUGAACGGUUUGGCCCCUGCCCUCUGCUUGGCUCCUUCCCACCCAGCCUUGGAGGGUGGCACCCUGACUGACUCCAGCUGCAGAGGUUGCUUCUGCGGCUCAAGCCCCAGAGAGACCAGCCAAGAUGAAUUAAUGCUAACAGCUCUAAAUCUGCAGAUAAUCUCUAGGGUUAUUUUACCAUACACAGUUCCUAGAAAGGUCCUUGUCAACCACUUGCUGCUCAGCUCCAGGUCUGGAAAUCAUCACAAUUCGGAGCACGUUCUUCGAAACAUUAAUCUUUGCUUGUUUUUAAUAAACCUAGUCACAAAAUUGGUUUUGAUUCUUAUGCAUUGCUAGAAAUUUCAGUGAAUGAACCCGGAAAAACUGACUUUGUGCAAAGGUAUUUGAUUCCAUAACUCCUUCAUAGCAACUCCCCUGUGAGGAAAAGGUAGGAGGAGUUUUUAGUUUAGAGGAAAGGCAAGUAAGAUGUGACAUGAUAGAAAUUUAUAAAAUUAUGCAUUGUGUGGAGAAAGUAGAUCGAGAAAAGCCC